rnacentral:rRNA from 1 species
AUUGAACGCUGGCGGCAUGCCUUACACAUGCAAGUCGAACGCGAAAGGGGGCAACCCUGAGUAGAGUGGCGAACGGGUGAGUAAUACAUCGGAACGUAUCCUGUAGUGGGGGAUAACCCCGAGAAAUCGGGGCUAAUACCGCGUACGUCCUACGGGAGAAAGCGGGGGAUCGUAAGACCUCGCGCUAUAGGAGCGGCCGAUGUCGGAUUAGCUAGUUGGCGGGGUAAGAGCCCACCAAGGCUACGAUCCGUAGCUGGUCUGAGAGGAUGAUCAGCCACACUGGGACUGAGACACGGCCCAGACUCCUACGGGUGGCUG